UACGUAGGGGGCAAGCGUUGUCCGGAUUUAUUGGGCGUAAAGAGCGUGUAGGCGGCCAGUUAGGUCCGUUGUGAAAACUCGAGGCUCAACCUCGAGACGCCGAUGGAAACCAACUGGCUAGAGUCCGGAAGAGGAGAGUGGAAUUCCCGGUGUAGCGGUGAAAUGCGCAGAUAUCGGGAAGAACACCCGUGGCUAAGGCGGCUCUCUAGUACGGUACUGACGCUGAGACGCGAAAGCGUGGGGAGCGAACAGG
rnacentral:rRNA from 2 species